rnacentral:lncRNA from 1 species
AGGGAUAUCUUUGCAUUUAACAUGAAAAAUGUACACCUGUGCAUUGUCAACAAGGUUAUGCUUUUGUUGGCUAUCUAGACCUCAAUGAUUUAUCUGUCAUUAAUGCCACUGGUCACUGGCCCAUGUUUCCAGUAGCAAGAUUGAAAAGAGGAAGACGUAUGUUACUGGGGGGUCUCUAAUCCCUCACCUGGACUAUUCUAAGCAAGAAAAGGUUAAAUGACUUGUGCACUGGGAAGAAAAAAAAAAAAAACAGUUGUCAUCCGUGGUGCCAAAAAUAGAAGUUCUGAUUUCCAGUCCUGUGAUCUCAACAGAAGACAGAAUGUUCACUCUAUCUGACUGAUACAAAAUACAACUUCUCCAAGGACUCUAUUAUUUUGAACUACUGUGUGCUGCACAUAUGCCAGGAGCUGAUUCAGUGGUUUCAUCCAAAUGUAAAGCAAAAUAUGGAAUUAUUUCAACAUAUAAUAAUAACUACUGUUACACUUAUGUAAGGCAAUAAAAAUAUUUUUGGCAAAAGCUUGUCCUGCUUUCUUUUUUGAGCAUAAUUUAUGUUUUACAAUCUUGUUGGCAAAAGUGUGACCUAUGUCUGUUUUUGUUCUGGUGAGUGCAACUAAGAAUGAUGCCACUGUCAUUUUUGUUCUUUUCUCUGUUUUGCAUGACAACAUUAAUAACUUUCACAAGGAAAAGUAUUAACUAGCAAAUAUUUCUGAAAAACUCAGAUA